GAGUGGCUUAGUGGUAUAGCGUCUCCUUGCCAAGGAGAAGGUCGCGGGUUCGACUCCCGUUUCG
rnacentral:tRNA from 1 species